UACGGGGGGUGCGAGCGUUGUCCGGAAUCACUGGGCGUAAAGGGCGCGUAGGUGGCCUGAUAAGGGUGUGGUGAAAGUCCGGGGCUCAACCCCGGAUCUGUCGUGCCGACUGUUAGGCUAGAGUACUGUAGGGGCAGGCGGAAUUCCGGGUGUAGCGGUGGAAUGCGUAGAGAUCCGGAGGAAGACCGGUGGCGAAGGCGGCCUGCUGGGCAGUUACUGACACUGAGGCGCGACAGCGUGGGGAGCAAACAGG
rnacentral:rRNA from 1 species